CUGCUCAGUAAACACGUGGAUAACCUACCCUUAGGAUUGGGAUAACCCCGGGAAACUGGGGAUAAUACCGGAUAGAUCAAGGAUGCUGGAAUGCACCUUGAUCCAAAGCUCCGGCGCCUAAGGAUGGGUCUGCGGCCUAUCAGGUUGUAGUGGGUGUAACGUACCUACUAGCCGACGACGGGUACGGGUUGUGAGAGCAAGAGCCCGGAGAUGGAUUCUGAGACACGAAUCCAGGCCCUACGGGGUGCAGCAGGCGCGAAACCUUUACAAUGUGCGAAAGCAUGAUAAGGGGACUCCGAGUGCCAGCAUCUAAUGUUGGCUGUCCUUGUGCCUAAAAAGCACAAGAUAGCAAGGGCCGGGUAAGACCGGUGCCAGCCGCCGCGGUAACACCGGCGGCCCGAGUGGUAGCCGCUAUUAUUGGGUCUAAAGGGUCCGUAGCCGGUUCGGUAAGUCCUCUGGGAAAUCUGGUUGCUUAACAAUCAGACUGCCAAGGGAUACUGCUGAACUUGAGACCGGGAGAGGUAAGAGGUACUUCAGGGGUAGGAGUGAAAUCUUGUGAUCCCUGGGGGACCAUCUGUGGCGAAGGCGUCUUACCAGAACGGGUCUGACGGUGAGGGACGAAAGCUGGGGGCGCAAACCGGAUUAGAUACCCGGGUAGUCCCAGCCGUAAACGAUGCUCGCUAUGUGUCAGGUACGGUGCGACCGUAUCUGGUGCCGUAGGGAAGCCGUGAAGCGAGCCACCUGGGAAGUACGGUCGCAAGACUGAAACUUAAAGGAAUUGGCGGGGGAGCACUACAACGGGUGGAGCCUGCGGUUUAAUUGGAGUCAACGCCGGA
rnacentral:rRNA from 1 species